rnacentral:rRNA from 1 species
CCUACGGGUGGCAGCAGUGAGGAAUAUUGGUCAAUGGGCGGAAGCCUGAACCAGCCAAGUCGCGUGAAGGAAGAAGGUUCUUAGUAUUGUAAACUUCUUUUGUCGGGGAACAAAGGCUGAGACGCGUCUCCUGAUGAGUGUACCCGACGAACAAGCAUCGGCUAACUCCGUGCCAGCAGCCGCGGUAAUACGGAGGAUGCGAGCGUUAUCCGGAUUUAUUGGGUUUAAAGGGUGCGCAGGCGGUGAAUCAAGUCAGCGGUAAAAUGUCGGGACUAAACCCCGACCGGCCGUUGAAACUGGUGUGCUAGAGUUGGAGAGAGGUAGGCGGAAUGCGUGGUGUAGCGGUGAAAUGCAUAGAUAUCACGAAGAACACCGAUUGCGAAGGCAGCAUACCGGCUCAAGACUGACGCUGAGGCACGAAAGCGUGGGGAUCGAACAGGAUUAGAUACCCCAGUAGUC